rnacentral:rRNA from 1 species
UACGAAGGGGCUAGCGUUGCUCGGAAUUACUGGGCGUAAAGCGCAUGUAGGCGGCGAUUCAAGUUAGAUGUGAAAGGCCCGGGCUCAACCCGGGAACUGCAUUUGAUACUGAAUUGCUAGAGUCCAAGAGAGGGUAGUGGAAUUCCCAGUGUAGAGGUGAAAUUCGUAGAUAUUGGGAAGAACACCAGUGGCGAAGGCGGCUUGCCAGAACGCGCUCGACGGUGAGGGAUGGAAAGCUGGGGGAGCAAACCGG